rnacentral:rRNA from 1 species
CGCGUAGGUGGUUUGUUAAGCGAGAUGUGAAAGCCCCGGGCUUAACCUGGGAACGGCAUUUCGAACUGGCAGGCUAGAGUGUGGUAGAGGGUAGUGGGAUUUCCUGUGUAGCGGUGAAAUGCGUAGAUAUAGGAAGGAACACCAGUGGCGAAGGCGGCUACCUGGACCAACACUGACACUGAGGUGCGAAAGCGUGGGGAGCAAACA